rnacentral:rRNA from 1 species
CCUACGGGUGGCAGCAGUAGGGAAUUUUGCGCAAUGGGCGAAAGCCUGACGCAGCAACGCCGCGUGAUCGAGACGCCCUUCGGGGUGUAAAGAUCUGUCAGUGGGGACGAAACUUGACGGUACCCACAGAGGAAGCACCGGCUAACUCCGUGACAGCAGCCGCGGGAACACGGGGGGUGCAAGCGUUGUCCGGAAUCAUUGGGCGUAAAGAGUUCGUAGGCGGGACGUAAAGUCUGGGGGUAAAGGGAGAGGCCCAACUUCUGUACGGCACUGGAUACUGGCGAGCUAGAAUGCGGUAGAGGUAAGGGGAAUUCCUGGUGUAGCGGUGAAAUGCUGAGAUAUCAGGAGGAACAUCGGUGGCGUAGGCGCUUUACUGGGCCGUAAUUGACGCUGAGGAACGAAAGCCAGGGUAGCAAAUGGGAUUAGAUACCCCUGUAGUC